AUUGAACGCUGGCGGCAGGCCUAACACAUGCAAGUCGAGCGGAUGAAGGGAGCUUGCUCCUGGAUUCAGCGGCGGACGGGUGAGUAAUGCCUAGGAAUCUGCCUGGUAGUGGGGGAUAACGUCCGGAAACGGGCGCUAAUACCGCAUACGUCCUGAGGGAGAAAGUGGGGGAUCUUCGGACCUCACGCUAUCAGAUGAGCCUAGGUCGGAUUAGCUAGUUGGUGGGGUAAAGGCCUACCAAGGCGACGAUCCGUAACUGGUCUGAGAGGAUGAUCAGUCACACUGGAACUGAGACACGGUCCAGACUCCUACGGGAGGCAGCAGUGGGGAAUAUUGGACAAUGGGCGAAAGCCUGAUCCAGCCAUGCCGCGUGUGUGAAGAAGGUCUUCGGAUUGUAAAGCACUUUAAGUUGGGAGGAAGGGCAGUAAGUUAAUACCUUGCUGUUUUGACGUUACCAACAGAAGAAGCACCGGCUAACUUCGUG
rnacentral:rRNA from 1 species